CAAGGGCGCAGCAUGUAAGGGGCGGGGAGGGGACGCCCGCCACCCCCCGAACUUUUCGGUUAGUAGUGUUACGUAUGUGUUUUUCGUAUAGAAAUUUUUAGGGAUAUACGUUUUCACCCCCCCGAAUUUAAAAAAAAAAUUAUGUAUAUACGUGUUCGACCCCCUCGGUUUUAUAAAUUUUUUUUUGUAUAUACGUAUUCGACCCCCGGUUUUCUAUUAUGUAGCCCAAAUAAAAUACUUAAUUAGCCAAAAUCAAUUUAUUAUACACCAAAAUCAUACAAGCCCAAAAUAAAAGCCCACCAUCCAAAAAAAAAAAAAUAAACCCAAAUUCAGUCCUGGUGGAAUACGAGCAUAACCAGUCGCACGCACAGAACAGAAGGGGGGAAAGAAACCCCAAAUCGCUGCUGACCUGCUGUUGUUGUUCGAGUCCGAGGGCAGGGGUCUUGAACUUGCUCGAUUUCUUCACGAAUCACGGCUCAUCCUCAGGUUGAAAUUGGGGGUGAAUUUUAGCCCUAAACUUGUUGAAAUUGUCAAUCUUCGACGAAUUCUUCUUGAAUCUUCAUAAGAUUAUGCUAUGGGAUUGACCGGCUGCUGCUGUGCCUGCUCUUGUUCGACUGCAAGCUGCUGCGC